CCUACGGGUGGCAGCAGUGAGGAAUAUUGGUCAAUGGGCGGGAGCCUGAACCAGCCAAGCCGCGUGAAGGAAGAAGGCGCUAAGCGUUGUAAACUUCUUUUGUCGGGGAACAAAGGGCGCCACGUGUGCCGUUUUGAGUGUACCCUACGAAAAAGCAUCGGCUAACUCCGUGCCAGCAGCCGCGGUAAUACGGAGGAUGCGAGCGUUAUCCGGAUUUAUUGGGGUUAAAGGGUGCGUAGGCGGUCCGGAAAGUCAGCGGUAAAAGCCCGGGGCAAAACCCCGGCGGGCCGUUGAAACUGUCGGACUAGAGGGGGCGAGAGGGAGGCGGAAUGCGGGGUGUAGCGGUGAAAUGCAUAGAUA
rnacentral:rRNA from 1 species